UACAGAGGGGGGCUAGCGUUGUUCGGAAUUACUGGGUGUAAAGGGUGCGCAGGUGGUUAGUUAAGUCUGAUGUGAAAUCCCUGGGCCCAACUCAGGAACUGCAUUGGAAACUGGCUAGCUUUGAGUACCGGAGAGGGAAGCGGAAUUCCUGGUGUAGCGGUGAAAUGCGUAGAUACCAGGAGGAACACCGGUGGCGAAGGCGGCUUCCUGGCCGAGUACUGACGCUCAUGCACGAAAGCGUGGGGAGCAAACGGG
rnacentral:rRNA from 1 species